AGGGUGCAUGGUGGAUGCCUAGGCGUCGAGAGGCGAAGAAGGACGUGGUAGGCUGCGAUAAGCCCCGGGGAGCUGUCAAACGAGCAUUGAUCCGGGGAUUUCCGAAUGGGGCAACCCGGCGUCACUCCGCAAGGAGAUGGCGUCAUCGGCGGGUGAAUGCAUAGCCCGUCGAAGCGAACCCAGGGAACUGAAACAUCUAAGUACCUGCAGGAGAAGAAAUCAACCGAGAUUCCGUCAGUAGCGGCGAGCGAACGCGGACAUAGCCCAAACCGGCCUUCGGGUCGGGGUUGCGGGAGCCGAGAGCAGUUACAAAGGUGUCGCUAACAGAAGUGCCUGGAAAGGCACACCACAGAGGGUGACAGUCCCGUAUGUGAAAGCGAUCGCCCUGCGUUACCAUCGGCUUACCAGAGUAGCAUGGAGCUCGUGGAACUCCGUGUGAAGCUGGGGGGCCCACCCUCCAAGGCUAAAUACUCCUCGACGACCGAUAGUGGACAAGUAAGGUGACUGAAAGGUGAAAAGAACCCCUGCAAGGGGAGUUAAAAGAACCUGAAACCAUGUACUUACAAGCGGUGGGAGCCCGAUGUGACUUCGGUCAUCCGGGUGACCGCGUACCUUUUGCAUAAUGGACCGGCGAGUUACCCUUAACGGCCUGGUUAAGCACCUCCGGUGCGUAGCCGUAGCGAAAGCGAGUCUGAACAGGGCGAUCUGUCGUUGGGGGUAGGCCCGAAACCAGGUGAUCUACCCAUGGCCAGGAUGAAGUGCCCGUAAAAGGGCGCGGAGGUCCGAAGCCGUGAACGUUGAAAAGUUCUGGCAUGAGCUGUGGGGAGGAGUAAAAGUCUAAUCAAACCUGGAGAUAUCUGGUUCUCCUCGAAAUGCCUCUAGGGGCAGCCUCGAGCCACUACGCCACGGGGGUAGAGCUACUGAUUGAAACGCGGGGGCCACCAGCCUGCCGCCUUCAUCCAAACUCCGAAUACCGUGGCGACUAUCUCGGGAGUGAGUCCGCGGGGUCAAUCUCCGCGGUCAAAAGGGAAACAACCCUGAUCGUCUGCUAAGGUCCCUAAUUCGUGCUCAGUGCAUAAGGAAGUCUGGUUUCCGAGACAGCGGGGAUGUUGGCUUAGAAGCAGCCACCAUUUAAAAAGUGCGUAAUAGCUUACCCGUCGAGAAACUGGGCGCCGAUAAUGAUCGGGACUAAGCACGGAACCGAAGCAGCGGGCUCGUGAGUUCUUCGGGACGAUCGAGCGGUAGAGGAGCGUUGAUAGGGAGAUACAGGCCAUACCGAAAGGAGUGGUUGCGGCCCUAUCAAGUGAUAAUGCCGGUAUGAGUAACGAGAAAGAGGGUGUAAAUCCCUCUCGCCGUAAGCCUAAGGUUUCCUGGGGAAGGUCAAUCCGCCCAGGGUUAGGCGGAUCCUAAGGCGAGGCCGAAAGGCGUAGUCGAUGGACAGCAGGUUAAUAUUCCUGCCCCGUGUCAUGCGGUUGAUUCGCAUGUGCGUUUUCUCAAGCUGCAGCCCACCACUAGACGAGAGGGUUCCCGCAAGGGCGAGGCCGAUUUGUUGCCGAAGUGCGGAGAGAGAGAGCCGAGAAAAGCAUGCGAGGACAAGUGGCACGUCCGUACUAAAACUGACACAGGUAGGCGAGGCGAGUAGCCUCAGGCGCUCGAGAGAACGGUCCUUAAGGAACUAGGCAAGUUAGCCCCGUAACUUCGGGAAAAGGGGUCCCUACUCCUCGGUAGCAAUACAGUGGAGAGGGCACAGCAAAGCGGCUCUGGCGACUGUUUAUCAAAAACACAGGUCUCUGCCAAGUCCAACAGACAACGUAUAGAGACUGACGCCUGCUCGGUGCGGGAAUGUUAAGGAAGGCGGUCAAGGGGGCAACCCCUGAAGCUGGCAACCGAAGCACCCGUAAACGGCGGCCCUAACUAUGAGGGUCCUAAGGUAGCGAAGUUCCUUGUCGGGUAAGUUCCGACGCGCAUGAAUGGCGUAACGACUGGAGCACUGUCUCAAGGACCGACUCGGUGAAAUUGGAAUUGUGGUGAAGAUACCACAUACCCGCGGCAAGACGGAAAGACCCCGUGAACCUUUACUGUAGCCUGAUAUUGGCCACAGAUAUCGCAUGCGUAGGAUAGGUGGGAGGCGAUGAUCCGGCAGUUCUGGCUGUCGGUUAGCCAACGUUGAAAUACCACCCUUGUGCUAUUUGUAUCCUAACCGCGCUCCGUGAAUCCGGGCGUGGGACAGUGUUAGGUGGGCAGUUUGACUGGGGCGGUCUCCUCCAAAAGAGUAACGGAGGAGCGCAAAGGUCGGCUCAGUGCGGUUGGCAAUCGCACGACGAGUGUAAGGGCAUAAGCCGGCUUAACUGUGAGACCCACAAGUCGAGCAGAUACGAAAGUAGGCCCUAGUGAUCCGGUGAUCCCGUGUGGAAGGGUCAUCGCUCAACGGAUAAAAGGUA
rnacentral:rRNA from 1 species